CAGUAUGUUUGCAGUGUGCAUUUGUGUGU
rnacentral:piRNA from 1 species